rnacentral:lncRNA from 1 species
CUGCCCAAGCUUUUCUUCUCUGUGAAUUCUUCUGGGGGGGUUUCGUGUUUGCAUGUACACGUGGAGUCUUUGUUUCAUCUCCAGGGGAAAUCGCACUGCUCCUGGUAGACCACCUGGAACAAAUUGUCUUCCACCCGCUCAGGGACUUUCCUAAGCCUGCCCAUUGUCCUGCCUGUGGAGAGUCAUUAAAAUGUUAAUCGCACCUUUGUUGGUUCUGCAUCUUCUUCCAGAAACAGCUCGAUGUGUGACAGGGCCAAGUUCAUAAAAAGAAACCGGUCCGAAUUCUCCAGUCCUGCACAGGCGCAUCCUCCAAGGGUUGCAGCCGUCUGGCGAGUUUCAAACCGCAGCCUGCUUUUCUCAGACUCAGAUGCAGGCCCUGCAGCCCACCCUGCUGUGCUGAAUUCCUUCGUGCUGCUCUCCAUCUCUGCGAGCUGCUCAUUACAGCCUGCCUCGGUACAUACCCUCCAGCCCCCGGCACCUCCCCAGAUCAGGCUGCUCGGUUCGCGGCGCACAGCAUCAGCAUCAAAAUGGAGGACUUGAGCCCAACCCUGGGAUCUGCACAUCCAGAAAUGAGGAGGAUUCAAAACCUAAACCUGAAGGUCUGCUCCAAUACUGAAGGAGGUUGGCACGGCGGCUGCGUGUCCUCGCGGCGAUCUGGCUUCUGUUGCAGGCUCUGCAACCUGUUCUCUCAACAGUCCCGAGAAGGUUACUUUGCCUCUCUGCACCUCCAUUUCUCUGUAAAUUGGGGACAUUUCACGUACCUCACCUCCUACAAGCUUUGAAAUGUAUAAAUAGUGCUAAGGCAGGGGCAGGUAAUUAUUUCGGGCGGAGGGCCAGUUACUGAGUGUUGGCAAGCCAUCGACAGGCAGCCAGGGGCAGAUAAAUAUUAAUUUUCUAAACUUUUUAGGGUUCCCGCGGGCUGGACAGAAUGGCCUAGCGGGCUGCAUCUGGCCCGCGGGCCGCAUUUUGCCCACCCUGGGCUGAGGAGUCUCAUUGUCAAUGGCCCCUUUUUUUAUAAUGGGUCCAAUCAAGGCCCCAAAUUCCAGCAGUACUCUGUAUUUGGGGGCAGAUUUCGCAUCUGGGCUUGUUUCUCGACUAUUCAAAGCCUGUUGCCUCUGCUAGACUGCGCUCGCUCCACCCCAGCCGAUGGCCCCGUCGCCGGUUUUGGGUAUUUGUGCACCAGAAGGACACCAAUGUAACAUCACACGACAGCCCCAACAUCCUACUUUUAGUGAUUGGUUGUAAAUAAAAGAAAUCCCAUUUUGGGGGGAAGUCUGCUG